UCUUUUUCAAAUCGGACAUUUUUAGAAGCGAUCUACACUUUUCUGCUUUUUGCUAAAUGGCUUUCACAUAUUCAUAACCAUGGAUCCAAGAGUCUAAGUUGAAAGUCUUCUACCAGUUUAUUCUGAGCUACUCCUUUUGGCUCAAAAGAUAGUGAGUUGUCCAACGAUGAAAUAGAGAACGUAAACAGUACCCGGGACCUAUCGGAUGUUGGUGAUGAAGAUUUGUCUGACGUAGUUGAAGAGUAUGCCCAUUUGCGAAAAAUGAUGAAACUCCUCAGGACCUUCUCAAUUGUCUACACCAAGGUCUUCAUUAGCAUCAACAGAAUGAUCAGUCCCAGUAUACAGCAAAUGUUCCACCAUUUCCUGAUCCUAGGAGAGAAGCCAAACAUCAGAGGCGGCCAUUGGAUUAUUUCAACAUCUUUACAGAUAAUCUGUGUUCGGGCAGUUGUGUAUCAAUCCAACCUGUACUGUCCUCUAACAUGACAUCAACAGUCCUUUAGCACUGGAUAAAGAUUAUUCCUGGAAAUUAGAUUUUACAUAAACAUUGUAAAAAAUUCCUAAAUGCCGUGUGUAUUGGAGCCUUGCCACCAAGUGUGUUACGGUCACAUACGUCAUGACCAUCAACAGAUUCAAGCGGAUUAAGACUAAUCAGCACCUGUCAAUGUCCUCAGCAGGACAAACAAUCCAUUAGCACGGGAUAAGAUUGAGCUAAAACAUUUCCUAGGAAUUGUGUGUAUUACAUAAAGAUUCUAAAAACUCUUAGAUGCCGAGUGUAUUGGAGCCUUGCCACUAAGUGUGUUACGGUCACAUACGUCAUGACCAUCAACAGAUUCAAGCGGAAUAAGAAUAAUCUGCACCUAUCAAACAAUGUCCUCAGCAGGACAUAAACAAUCCACUAGUACUGGAUAAAGAUGAACAAAAACAUCUCCUGGAAAUUGUGUUUUACAUAAACAUUGUAAAAAAAAUUCUAGUUCCCAAAUGUCUUGGUGCCUUGCCACCUAAUUUGUUACUGUCAUAGAUAUAACCAUCAAUAGCAGUCCAACCUACAACCAUAGAAAGCCAUAUAGAUGGGCUACAAAGUCUUUGUUGUGUCCAACAACUUGUAUAAUCCAAGAUUUUGAAGUGCAUACAGGUAAAGCUACAAAGUGACAAGAUGACAAAGUACUGUUGCUAAUAUUGAGGCAUCAUUACAGAGUGUUCCCCAAUAUGUUGGGCUCAAGAUUUACAUAGACAAUAUUAUUUAGUUCAUCAUUUAGUUGCAAGUUGUUCUGCACAAACAAUCCACAGAAGUUUUUAUUUGUUGUAUAGCAAACAAAAAAAAUGCUAAUAAAUUUUUUACUAAAUAAACCUGCAUGUAAUUUUUUAGUUUUUUUCUCUUUCAGUGUACAUGUUUUUACUUUUGUUUUCAUCAU